rnacentral:rRNA from 1 species
UACGAAGGGGGCUAGCGUUGCUCGGAAUCACUGGGCGUAAAGGGUGCGUAGGCGGGUCUUUAAGUCAGGGGUGAAAUCCUGGAGCUCAACUCCAGAACUGCCUUUGAUACUGAGGAUCUUGAGUUCGGGAGAGGUGAGUGGAACUGCGAGUGUAGAGGUGAAAUUCGUAGAUAUUCGCAAGAACACCCGUGGCGAAGGCGGUUCUCUGGGACGGUACUGACGCUGAGACGCGAAAGCGUGGGGAGCAAACAGG